UUUGCCAGGGAGUUGAUGUUGCUGUCGCUGCUGCUGCUGCUCCGUCUUCGUCGUCGCUGUCGUCGUCGUCUUUAGUGGCAGAGAAGCGGCCUGGCCGAACGCUGGCGCUUCGCGUUGAAACAAAGCCGCAGGUGGGAGGCAGUAAUCAAAAAACAAAAAAACAAAAACAAAAACAAAAAACCGACAGCACUCAACUUGAUUCAUCAGUUGAGCCGAAUAAACCCGAACACUCUUCGUCUUGUUACUCUGUGUGUUAGCUGCUGAUAGUGAUAAUGACAACGUUUAUUGCUCAAGUUGUAAACUAUUAAAUGAUGUUUUUAUUGCUAUUUUAGCCUGCGGCAAUUGCAGCCUACUAUACAAAGCUUUUACUGUCACUAUUCACUAUUUCUCUGACUGCAAGCUCAGCACGUGAGCUUAGGUCGUACUCUAUGGGCUUGUUUUUUUUUCUUUUGUUUUUUUGUUGUGCUUUCGUUUGUCGGCUCACUGGCUUAUGAGCGAAGCUUAUGAGCAAAUCAAGCGGUAGAGCAACAACAACAAUAACAACAACUGAGUGAACCGGUUACUGCUCUCUCAGCAAAAUUGCAGACUGCAGCUUGCGAACUUCAAGAGCCGUUAUUCCACACUCUACUCGAUAUGUCUCUUUCGCUUUCGCUCAUUUUCGCUCUCUACUGCCCCUGACAUUCACGUGCUCACGAGCACAUUCUGGAGCCAGCUGCAUUAUGCAGUGUUGUUGUGGACUGCGUGAGGAACUCGUGUGGGACAUAAUAAAAGCAUUGGCCUGCGCUGCACUUGAGUGAUAAGUUGGCAUUGAGCAAUUGAAGCAUCUUUUACAAUAUUGACAUCGCACUGUUAACACAUUUAUAUAAAGUUAUUGACGUGGGCUCAAAGCGGACGUUGCCAACUUAUCAGAAAUGCAAAUUUAUCAUUCGGUGCAACGACUUGGCGGCCCUAGGAAUACGUUCUGGAAUAUAUUGGAUUAAACAUUGGCAGUUAAUUGCAGAGCCAUUUAAUCAUCGUUUGACGAAAUUUACUGAUUGAUGUCUAUGCUACAUGGGUAGAUAAAGUAAUUCGGCCACUUGAUCAAUAGAAAAAACAUAUGGAUAAGAUAAUUCUUCGAAGAGUCUUAAGCGUUAUCAAAGCAGACUUCAAUUCAAUUUUUUAACUUAUCAAGAGUACCGAGACUUAACAAAGAAAAGUUCUUAGAUACAAUCACACAAUAGAAAAUGGGUGUGUUUCAAUAACAAUCGCAUAAAAGUUAUUAGAUGUUUAUGGAUAGUCUGUUACGUAGCUUAAAUAUUGCAUCACGCCCUUUAAUGCCCUUAUUUCAUUGCGUUUUUAAUUUGAGUAAUCUCGUUUACAAGUUUAACUGCUAAACAAUGACAUAACCUAUUGCUUUUUAAGUUCUCGAAAUUGUAAUGUCAUUUUUCUGCACUUACAAAUCUAUCUGUAAAAUUGUAUGAAGCUUUGUUUACUUGAAAAACCGACUUCAGGACGUCGACAAAAAAGAACUCAGUCAAGCGGAUGGCGUUUUAUUGUGAAAAUCAAAAUUAAUCGGCGGACUAUUAUUAGUCAUUUAGCGGUGUAGAUUUACGGUUUGGAUUAGAAAGUGGAGUUUUUUCCAUUGAUAAAGUGAAAAUUAUGGAAGCCAUAAAUGUUUAGAGUGCAAACUAAUUGAAAUAAAUCAGUGCCGCUCUCUGAUAACCGAUUAUGAUAAUGGCAGGCAAAUAUUAUACCAAACGAGCCUGGCAAAUAUGUGUAUGUCCCAUAUAACCGGCAAAUGCCUCCGCCCAUCGUAAAAGUCCCCCCGUCUAAUUGAGUGACAUUCGUUUUAGUCAACGAUAGGUUUUGAUAAGGAACGUGCUGUGGAUCGGCCGAGUGAGGCGAUCACGUUCACGUGAAGUGCACGCCGCGUUCCAGAUAGCGGAUAGAAGAGCAAUGGGCCAACAACUCAAAUGCCAACAGAGCGCCAAUGCUGGCAAUUAAGUCAUGUUGAUACAAAGUGCUUAUCUGACUAAUGAAUAAUAUCUAGGCAGGCAACAAGCACAGCGGCCACCUCUCGUACCUUGCCGCUUCCUGCGAAUCGCUGCUGCUGCUGAUCACA